AUUGAACGCUGGCGGCAGGCCUAACACAUGCAAGUCGAGCGGCACGUCGGACGGGUGGGUAAUGCCUAGGAAUCUGCCUGGUAGUGGGCGAUCACGUCCGGCAACGGGCGCUAAUACCGCAUACUAUCAGAUGAGCCUAGGGCGGAUUAGCUAGUUGGUGGGGUAAAGGCCUACCAAGGCGACGAUCCGUACCUGGUCUGAGAGGAGGAUCAGUCACACUGGAACUGAGACACGGUCCAGACUCCUACGGGAGGCAGCAGUGGGGAAUAUUGGACAAUGGGCGAAAGCCUGAUCCAGCCAUGCCGCGUGUGUGAAGAAGGUCUUCGGAUUGUAAAGCACUUUAAGUUGGGAGGCGGUACCAAAAGAAUAAGCACCGGCUAACUUCGUGCCAGCAGCCGCGGUAAUUC
rnacentral:rRNA from 1 species